AAUCUAUAUGCAUAGAUAGAUAUGUACUGCAUAUAUAUAGAUAUAUAUAUAGAUAGAUAGAGUUUCGGCUGAUAUCAUUUUGGUCCUUGAAUCUUAUAUCUUUUAGGUUGACUCGACAAUUAGGAAAUUGAGUUUUUCACGUUGUUUUCUAUGUGCACGGCUGAGACAUUGUGUCUACUUAAAAUGCAAAGACAACAGGACAUGUUUGUUUAUUAUCCUUUGGUUGGUUAUUGGUGGCUGUACAAACUGCAGAGAAUAAGUUAUUAUCUGUUUCUAUGCAUUUAGUACGAAGAAUAGUAGAGCCUACGUGUCUUUCUUUUUUCUUUUUUGGGGGGUGAAACCAGUCUUUUUAACUGAAUUACUCAACUAGCUCAGAAGAAAUGAGCGUGAGCGAAAGCGAUUACGAAAUCCUCAUCCUCGUGCCGCAGGAGUUACAGAGUGUGGACAUCAACCUGCAGUCAUUCUGGUCAAACUGAUGUUCUGCAGAGAAGGAGCGCAACACAUCCUGUUGCGACGUAGCCUGUAUCCUGUUUUCCACAGUCGGUGGUCAUGCUCGUCAUUCCCCUCUGCGAGGCUGUGCUGGCACAAUCUCAUGACCCUGCGCUGUGAAUCUCAUGAUACUGAAUCGAGGGGCGCGUCUGAGAAAAACUCUGAAUGUCAGCAGAAAAAUAUGUAUAACAGCACAAUACAUUAGAGGUGUUAAGAAAUGAUUUUGACUUUGUACCAAAGUAAAUGAGUUACUAAAGUUAUUUUAAUUAAGUCUUGAGUGAGCUUCAGCAGUACAAGCAUAUAGUACAUAAUAUAAGUAGGCUCUCAAAAUAAGUGCACACAAAGAUGCUGAUAAGAACAUUGACACCUCCACACGUCAGGCCCGCAAACCCGAGAGGCCACAGAGCGUGACUGUGAAUAAGGAGGUGACAAUGUAACUUUUCUGCGUGCUGUGUGGGCUUUGGCCAUCAAAAACAGCAUCUUGUGACUGCUUCCACACAGAAAACUGGUGAAUGUUAAUUCUAAACCAGAAAGCAGCACGCGGUCAGGGAUUCAGUCGAGAACACGCAACAUAUGUAACUUCACACAGUGUCAAAUAUUAUACAUGUUGACAUGUUGUUUAUGAGAGUGGUCCAUCCAUAACUGCUGGUGGACACAACAACAGAGACACCUGCCCAGCGUGAGGCAAUCCAUUGUCUUUGCCCAUUAAAGGUUUAUGUCUUUUGUAUGGUUAUCUUAUCUUAGCAAAAAUAGGAUAUAUAAAUAUGGGAAACAGUCUGCCCCUGUUUAAAGAUCCCAAAUAGAGUUUACAUAAUUUGCGCCAGGCCAAGAAAUCAACUCACAGAUAAAUUCAUUAAAUAAGUUAGACAACAUGCUAUUUUUGAAUAAUUUAACCAUUUUACAAACGAUGACCGAAGUUAUUUUUACAGGUGAUGGUCAACAAAUUGUGUUAAUGUUUGUUUCUACUCUUAGUGCUAAACUAAGCUAAUUAAAUGUUUGAUAUAGCUUCAUAUUUAUUGCAGGGAAAUGAAAAGAGCAUCGAAGUCCUGAAAUAUGUGUAUUUCCAAAAAUGUCAAACUACUCAUUUGAGGAUCAAUAACACAAUGACCUAAACAUAACAUGUCAUGUCUGUCAGCUGUUUGCCAGUGUAGCCGCACACACAAUAGAGAUGACACAAACUUAAUUUCACAAAGCAAACGUUACUUUGUCCAACACUGUAUAAUGAGUCAACAUGGUGCGCUGUCCCCCGUUGCCAUGGUUUAAGGAGUUUGAACACCUAAAUGUGUUACUUCAGCAAUGCGUAUCACUGUGUGAUUGUAUUUGGUGUUCUUGGUCUUUGUAAAUGUUGAAUAACCCAAUACAGCGGCCACUGAGUUUGUGUGGGCAAUAUAGUCAAAGACAUCACAGUUAUAGUAAAACCCUGCGCACGGGUACAACCAGAUGUAAUCUGUCAAGGUUUACAUGCAGUGUGCAGAGAUCAGUUAUAAGCUUGACCAAACACGCUUAACACUCUUUUUUAGAAAUAAAAAACAGGACUGUGACUGUUUUUUUAACUCUCAAGGAAAUUAUUUGGAUGCAAUAAAUAUACAAAUGUUAUUUGCCUUCUUCUGUUUCCUAAAGUUUCUGAUAUGUUUUCCACGUAACGUAACACUCUUUCCUACAGAGGAAUGAUCCUGACCAUAUGACACGUAAAUGGAUUUAAAGGCGGCUUUCAGGGAACUGAAUCUGAAAGAGAAGUUCCCAGUUCCUCAUUUCAUAAUUUGUCAUGGCAUGUACCUUGUCUUUCAGGUCACGAUAAAGACCGACAGCCAAUAGUCAGAUCUGUGUAUCAAAACAAACUUCUGCACUCAAAGCAACAUGAAUUCCUCUGAACAAGUAACAGCUGAGUCUGUUUCAGAUCUUCAGCCAGAACCCGGACGUGUGACUGUUUAAGUGACACUUAAAACUAAACAUAAUGUCCAUUGUCCAAGUAAAGGCUGUCUCGGUUUUGCCUUCAAAUUGUCGUAUAUGUUUUAAAUAUAAUUUUCUAGAAUAAUCUUGAUGCGUGAUGGUGGUUUUAUUGGCAGUAAGUUAGUAAGUUGAAAGCAUCAUUGAAUCAGACACAUAUUCAUUGUAUGCUUAAACAUAUAUGUUCAUUAAAUCUCAUCUGGAUUGAUUCCAUGUAAAAUACACUGUAGCUUAUUAUGAAUUUUGUUCACAAUUCUCUUUAUCAAUGUACUGUAUUUUGUCAAAAACUUCUUCCUCCAAUCAUGAUAAUGAUGAUAUUACAUAUUAUUAUAUUAUCUGCAAAAAUAUGAAUAAACAUAAAUAAACUAAAAUUCCUUUUUGUGUGUAGAACUAUAUUACAG
ensembl:lncRNA